UAGGGAAUCUUCGGCAAUGGACGAAAGUCUGACCGAGCAACGCCGCGUGAGUGAAGAAGGUUUUCGGAUCGUAAAACUCUGUUGUUAGAGAAGAACAAGGACGUUAGUAACUGAACGUCCCCUGACGGUAUCUAACCAGAAAGCCACGGCUAACUACGUGCCAGCAGCCGCGGUAAUACGUAGGUGGCAAGCGUUGUCCGGCUUUAUUGGGCGUAAAGCGAGCGCAGGCGGUUUCUUAAGUCUGAUGUGAAAGCCCCCGGCUCAACCGGGGAGGGUCAUUGGAAACGGGGAGACUUGAGUGCAGAAGAGGAGAGUGGAAUUCCAUGUGUGGCGGUGAAAUGCGUAGAUAUAUGGAGGAACACCAGUAGCGAAGGCGGCUCUCUGGUCUGUAACUGACGCUGAGGCUCGAAAGCGUGGGGAGCGAACAGG
rnacentral:rRNA from 1 species